GAUGAACGCUAGCUACAGGCUUAACACAUGCAAGUCGAGGGGUAACGAGAGGAAAGCUUGCUUUCCUUGUCGACGACCGGCGCACGGGUGAGUAACGCGUAUCCAACCUGCCCCCAACUAGGGAAUAACCUUGCGAAAGUAAGACUAAUACCCUAUAAUUUCCUCAGAUGUCAUCUGACGAGGAAUAAAGAUUUAUCGGUUGUGGAUGGGGAUGCGUCUGAUUAGCUUGUUGGCGGGGUAACGGCCAACCAAGGCAACGAUAAGUAGGGGUUCUGAGAGGAAGGUCCCCAACAGUGAAACUGAUACACGGUACAAACUCCUACGGGAGGAAGCAGUGAGGAAUAUUGGUCAAUGGGCGGAAGCCUGAACCAGCCAAGUAGCGUGCAGGAUGACGGCCCUAUGGGUUGUAAACUGCUUUUAUACGGGAAUAAAGUUAACCACGUGUAGUUAUUUGUAGGUACUGUAUGAAUAAGGACCGGCUAAUUCCGUGCCAGCAGCCGCCGUAA
rnacentral:rRNA from 1 species